GCCCGGUUAGCUCAAUCGGUAGAGCGUGAGACUCUUAAUCUCAAGGUUGCGGGUAAGUUGGCCUUCCGUCGAAGCAAAUCGACGCACAAGAUAUACUGACAUGAAGAAUCAGGUUCGACCCCCGCAUCGGGCU